GAUGAACGCUAGCGGCAGGCCUAAUACAUGCAAGACGAACGGUAACUUUGGUAGCAAUAUUGAAGCAAGAGUGUCGUAAGGGUGCGUAACACGUAUGCAAUCUGCCCUCAACAGGAGGAUAGCUCCCCGAAAGGGGAAUUAACACUCCAUAAGAUUGUGGUCUGGCAUCAGACAGCAAUUAAAACUACGGUGGUUGAGGAUGAGCAUGCGCAUGAUUAGUUAGUUGGCGGGGUAACGGCCCACCAAGACGAUGAUCAUUAGGGGAACUGAGAGGUUGAUCCCCCACACUGGCACUGAGAUACGGGCCAGACUCCUACGGGAGGCAGCAGUAGGGAAUAUUGGACAAUGGGUGCGAGCCUGAUCCAGCCAUGCCGCGUGCAGGAAGACGGCCUUCU
rnacentral:rRNA from 1 species